rnacentral:rRNA from 1 species
UUUUAUUUUAAUAAAUUAACUAAAGGAAUAUAAGUUAUGUUCUAAAAAUUUAAAGAUUUUGGCGGUAUUUUAGUCUUUUCAGAGGAACCUGUUUUUUAAUUGAUGAUCCACAAUUAAAUUUACUUAUAAUUUAAAUUUAUAUAUCGUCGUUAUUAAAUAUUUUAAAAGAAUUAAUAUUUAAAUUGUUUUAUUAUAAUAAAAAUCAGAUCAAGGUGUAGUUUAUAUAUAAGUUAAAAUGGGUUACAAUAAUUUUAUUUAUGGAUAAAAAUUUUUAUUUUUUUUUGAAAUUGGAUUUGAUAGUAAUUAAUUAAAUAUUUUUUUAAUGAUUUAGCUCUAAAAUAUGC